AAUGGGAACAUGUCGGAUAUAUUAUCCCAUGGAGGGCCGCAAAUUUUUUGAUUUCUCCGAGCAAGGUCCGUCCUUAGUCCAGCAUUACAACACCUAGUUGACUCUAGCUGUUCCUACAACUGCCAUGACUAAUAAUCAUAAUUUGUUUCAUCUCGAAACAUAUUUUCAUACUAUACAAACCUUUCUCAGAACAGGUACAACACAACUCUAUGUUUAGGGAAGGUUUCUGUUCCUUUCCUAUGAACUUUUAUUUUUGAGAUCACAGUCACAUGAAUAUCAGCAUAUGACUUACUAAGUUAAAACUGAUUUCAUCAGAGCUACCAAAAUCCAUCCAUGGCGUCUUCCUUCUCCACCUCGCAGCUAACAUCCGCGUAUUGUCUGCACAAGCACGCCAACACGCCCUAUACAUGGCGGCCUGUCCAGGGGAUGGCUACCAACUCUGACACUGCAAGUGCAACAGACAUGAGGAGUACAAACUACAGUCUUUUACUUGAUGAUGCAAUGCGGGACAAACUCCAGAUUCUGAAUACAAAAACCUCUAAUCCUGCUAUUUGAAUAUGCAUGGUUUCAAUUUAGCAUAUGAAGUCAUGAACCCAUUUUUCAGAAUAACACUUCUCCAUCGGAUGCUUGUUUUCCGUAGUUUAGGUUCGACAUCCUACUAAAUCACUCCUGGACGUCUACAUUGAUGUUGACACCCAGUUUUUACAGCCUUUUAAGCGCAUAUCCAUUCACUGUCAGUUUUCAUUCAGUCGCAAUGCAGAAUCCCCCAAAAUUAUAAUUUACCAGUAGAUUACCAUGUAGCUGAGUCACAAUCUCAGGAGAAGUUCAUAUGUGUUCUCUGCAUGCAGAUAUGGUCUGAGUCAUGGUCCUGAAGAAAUCCCGUACCUGCUGAUGGUCAUGAAGAAAUCCCAUACCUGCUGAUGGUCAUGAAGAAAUCCCAUGUAGCUGCAGAAGCGACCGCUUGAACCACC
rnacentral:lncRNA from 1 species